rnacentral:lncRNA from 1 species
UUUUUUUCUUUUCUUUUUACUCAUUUAAAUUCAAUUUGCCAACAUACAGGAUGACACCCAGUGUUCAUCCCAUCACGUGCCCUCCAUGCCCAUCCCCCAGUGACCCCAUCCCCCACGUUCCUCCCCUCCCGAAACCCUCAGUUUGUUUCCCAGAGUUAGGAGUCUCUCAUAGUCUGUCUUCCUCUCUGAUUUUUCCCCCUGAAGCUUUCAUAGGCAGCAGAGACAUGGGAAAGGCUCUGGCCCACCCCCGCCCCCCGCCCUGAGGGGUCCUCCCCGCCCAUUGCCCAGCCAGCCCUGCAUCCUGCACCAGGCCCCAAGGCCAUCACAGGCCCUCUCCCUUGAUGCCUGUCUGUUCCCUCCAUCCUACGUGUGCUUCUCUCCCUCCUCUGCUUCCCAUGACUGCCUUGGCCCUGCUGUCACACUUAGCUCCUGCGGCCAACACUCCCUUAACCACUCAUUUGUUCAUUCACAUUUACCAAGCACCUACUGUGCAGGACUGUGCACCAAUGCUCAGGACACAGAGGAUGUGCCACCCUAACCUGGCUCUCCGGAUGCUCACAGCACAUGGAGACAGGCAGAAAAGCAAUAAGAUGGUGGGGAAUGCGGAAAAUGAAGAUGCAGCCGUGGACAGCAGCAUGGGGUGCAUAGGAGCCUGGGGCACCUAGCUGAGCUUGGAGAGGGAUAGUAGGGAAGACUUACUGGAGGAGGUGACGUCUGAGAUGGAUGAGUACUGAACUGAGCCCGGAGGCAGGGGCUCUAAUCCUUCCCUGUCCUCUCUCCUCUGCUUCCUGCUGCCCCAACUAACCCUCCAUUCCCAGCCCCAAUUCCCAGGACCAUAGCCUGCCACCAGAUGCAGAAGGUGUGAGGUUACUGUCCUGCCUCAAGAGCCAAGUAUUAACCUGCCCAGCACGGAGCCCACACAGAGGCACGGCAGGGACCAGGGCUACUGCGUGCACGCAGAAGUGUGCAGUGUUAUUGACACACCAGAGGACCAUUUUUAUUGCCACAUUUUUAUUGCCAAGAGGACCCCAUGCUACUGAAUUGCCAAGCCCUACUAGAGCACAUGAAACCUACAAAUUCUGAAGCUUGCUUUCUUUUUUUUUUUUAAAGAUUUAUUUAUUUGAAAGAGAGAGAAAGAGCGUGGGGGCGGGGGCAGAGGGAGAGGGAGACUCCUCAAGCAGACUUCCCGCCUACAUAGGGCUCAAUCUCACCACCCUGAGAUGGUGACCCAAGCUGAAAAUCCAGAGUUGGCCGCUUAACCAACUGAGCACCCCAAUUUGAAGCUUUCUAAAGGCACAAUGUGUAUACCCCCUACACAUCCAAAACAUCUCAGCCUCACUCAAAGGCUAAAGGUCAUGAGAAAUGACAGGUCAAUGCCUCGCAUGAAGGGGCCACCACCAAAGUCAGCAAAGGGUCAAGAAAAAAAAAAGCACAGAUCACACUGAGGUCACCUUCCACCUUUUCCAGUGGCAUCCAGGGCUGGGCUUGGGGAAUGAAUGGGAACUGGGGCCUGAGGGCACCCGGGAGAGGCCCAGUGGUUCCAGGCUGUGCAAUGUCUGGAGGGACAGUGGGACUGGCAGACAGGAGCCCUCAGUCCCAAGGGCAGGAGGGAGGUUUGAGGAAAGACUCGGGCCUUGCAGCAGGCAGGAACCAAGUACCUGGAAGUAAGGCACUGCUCACUGCACACCGCAUGGUGGAAGCAGCUACUACCACCGGCCAUCUGCUGCAUGAACAAAUGAAAAAAUGUUACAGCUCCUGAUUUCCUCAAGAGACACAAAAGCAGACGAACUAGAGCUAACUCUGAAGCCUUUUAUUGGAGAAACAGCUAAGCACUCUUAGGGAAACAAUGGCUCCAACACUCUGUGAGUUUGAGCCAUGCUGGGUCCGCAUUAAUCGAGCUUCUGUAGGGCGGGAUUUACCAGGACCUUCAAAAUAACAUUACGCACUUUGAAGAACCCAGAAGUUGACAGAGUGGCUUCUCCCAUGCUCACUUCAGCACUGGCUCUCUCUGCCUGCAGCAGCUUGUAAAGGGGAGUCGCAGGAAGCAAACUCUGGGGAACUUCCCGCCUUUCUCCCUCUGACCACAGCGGGCGGGUGCAAGUAUGCUGAGCUGGGCUCCCCUCGAUGACAACGGCCUGCAGCCCGAUGCCCAGCUGUGAUCCAGCCCCUCGCUCCCACUCGGGGUGGGGGGUACAAGUGAGUGAGGGUGACAUCAUGAAGCAGUUAACUUAGAAGCAUCAGUUCUUUAAAAAAAAAAUAAUAAAUAAACAUUCCCAUAAAUACCUAUAGUGUAUCUGGUGCUAUUAGCCAAUUGCAGGGGCCACAUCCAACAGCCUUGUCAAGAAUCGUGCUCUGGAGGUAAGAACCCUGCUCUUGACAACCCGGGAGGUGCAUCCUAUCCUGGCUUUCCUCUGGCCAGUCGCCGAUGCCCGGAACACCCUCUCCCCGGCACGUCCUUGGGUGGCUCCAGGGACCAUGCGUGGCCUUCACUGCAGCCCUCGACCAACGACUCUGCCCUGCCUGGCCGACACCAAAGCCCGGCGCCACAGGCCACACGUCAGCCCUGCCACCUCAUCUGCACCCCUGACUGUGACUUGGGGCAGAGACAGUGCUCCCUGACACCCUCACAAUAGGUGUGCACACCCAGGUGACUUCUGGCCAGCACAAAAGGUCCAGGAAACAAGGAGGGUCCACAUCACUGAUGUAGCUUUUCUUGGGAUCCGGUAAGAAAGCUGGUAGAGCAAGAUGUCCUCGCGGCACCAUGAGAUUAUCUCCUGGGACAAGGGGACAGUGGCUUGCAAUGCCCUGGCCAGGCAGCCGGCCUGGAAAAACUUAAAAGGCCCUCUUGUUGACAAAACCCACUUCUCCAGUAGAACCUGCCCCCAAACCUUUUAAAAUGAUUUUGGAUUUUGGCCCCAACUUGUUCUUCACGGCCCCACUGCACAGACACGUCGCUGACAUGCCAAACCCGUGCUCUGCUCCUUUAGCAGAGGCAGUCCCAAAAGUCCAUGAGAGCUUCCUCCGGGGGACAAGAUGGCACACGCCGGCCCCGGCCCACAGAGCGUGGCUCCUUGUCAUUCUGCCCAGAAGGCUAUAAUUAGAAGGCAGUCCCCUCCGUCGGCAGGGGUUCCACGCUGCCCCUCCCUGUGCUUUCCUGGAGAGCUCUCCCCAGAGGCCUGAUGGUGACCAGACCCCUGAGAGCCCCUGGGUGUCGGGUCUGCUGCCCAUAGCCCUGCUCAAGACAAGCUCCCAAGGCCCUCAUAAACUACAUCCUGACCAAGAGAUAGUUCCUUUAACUCCCCUCAGACUUCACCAGCAGCCCAGGCACGGCCGGUCCUCCCAGGCGUUCAAGUUCCCUCAAACCAACAAACAUGUACCCCCGCUCCCCUCACACAUUCCUUGAGCAUUCGUUGAUGAUGGCCAAUGGAUGCCAGUUGGUCUGCCAGGUGAAGGAGACACAAGAUCUGAGACCCAGUCAAUCAAAAUAGUGACAAUGGCCAAACAGGGGUCUGUCCUGGGCGGCCGGCAGGGGGCACAGGUGUGGCCAACUGGUCCUAUGACAGGGUGGGGGUCUGGGGGUACUUGGAACUCGAGACCAGUCCAACUGGAGCAAAAGGUUGGUGCCAGUAGCUGACGAAGACAGAUUGGGGGCAGGGCCAGGGCCUGAGGUCUUCGAUGUCAAGUUCCAGAACUUUCUUAAGCUCUGCCUAUACAGUCUGCCAUCUGGAAUGCCCUGCCCUCUUUCCAUCCAAUCAAACUCUAACCUUCUGGAGCACCUGGGUGGCUCAGUAGUUGAGUGUCUGCCUUCGGCUCAGGUCAUGAUCCGGGGGUCCUGGGAUCCAGUCUUGCAUCAGGUCCCCCACAGGGAGUCUGCUUCUCCCUCUGCCUGUCUCUACCUCUCUCUGUGUAUCUCUCAUGAAUAAACAAAUAAAAUCUUUAAAAAAAAAAAAAAAAAAA